CAGGGGGAAAAAGUAAAUGGUUUACUAAUUCGUUCCCUCAUUUUAAGUAAAUCAUGUGCACAACAUAAUAAUCUGUGCUCUUGUCACAAGGUGACGAUCUUUAGGGGCGGAACCAAAAUUCGGGAAGUUUGGUUCCGCCCGGAAGUGUUUCCGCCCGGACCGGAAAAACAGAACACCGGAACUUCCGGUAGCGCCGUAAGAAGGAAAAUCAGGGAAUUCGAUGCACCUGUGCCUAGUUAGGGACAGCGGUUGGUGAUUGGAGGAUACGCUGGACAAGGCAGUACUUAAGGCCAAGUUAUUUUACAGUCUGGGAGCUCUUUCUGGUGUGUGUGAAGCACUGUGUUGUGCCCGUCUUGGUGCGCUGCUGGUGGCUGUCUAACUCUCUCUCCCUCAGGCUGGAAUUGUAUGAUUGUGAAGACAUCGCGAACCUUAAAGGUUGAGAAGUGAACGGAUUAUACGGCGAACUGAGACGACGUGAAAAAGGGGAUUGGAAGCGGCAUUGAUGUGAGUACUAAGAGCCAGUCGAAAGUGCCCUGUAUAUUGACCUGGCAUUGUGUAGAUCUCUCCAGGAGGAGGAGGGCGGCCCUACCCCUAAUAUAGCGUGGUGGGAGAGCCGAAGGAAUACUUAUUGAAGUAGUCACAACGACGACAUCACUAGCUAGGCCGCAUAUUCCAUCGCCAGAUCCGAACCAAGCGAAGUGAAGGAAGACGGGUGUCCUUUUCGUACACUGAGUGUGGUGGGUGAGUCUUCGUGCUGUGAAAACCUAUAAUUUUGACGUGGUGUUGUAUAUUGCUGUGGGCUGCUGUGUAUUGCCGUGUGUCCUGUCAGAUAAACCCCCGCCUUCACGCACUUCGUCGCGGGAGGACAAGGAGACUGCUGGUCCUAGCCUAGUUCAGUACAGUAUAUGUUGUGAGCGUGCUUCAGAUCUCCGGAGAUAGCACGGUACGCUGUGUCCAGCCCAGAGGUGAAAGCCAUCCAAAGCAGAGUAACUGUGCUUUGUGUCCAAGUUGAUACCUGUGGAGAGGAAAGGAAAGAGAGAGUGAGUAACACAAGGAGAACCAGAGGGAACCUGUACUUACAGUACGCUGUGUCCAGCCCAGAGUUGAUACCUGUGGAGAGAAAAGGAGAGAGAGUGGGUAACACGAGGAGAGACCGAGGAAACCUGUACUUACGCCGCUGCCUGUGGAGAAAGAGAAAGCGAGUGAGCACCCAAGGAACGAACUGUGUGAACCAGUACUUACUGUGAGCUGUAAUCAGCGAAGAGGUGAGAGCAAAACCAAGCUGAACUAACUGUGCUUUUGUGUCCCAGCCGUUGCCUGUGGAGGAAGAGAAAGAGAGUGAGCACCUCGAGAACGAACUGUGUGAACCAGUACUUACCGUGAGCUGUAUUCAGCGAAGAGGAGGAAGAAGGAGGGCGCUACGGAUACCUAAGACUCAGGCCGGGGCCCGAGUCCCACGCCCCGGAUCCCCGUGGCCCCCUUGCUCCCUGACCUCUUCCCGGCCAUAGCCCAUCUGGAGGGCCGAGUCAGAGUUUAGUUUUAAUUGCCCUUUCCCUAUUCCCCAAGCUAUUUUUAAAUAUUUAAAUAAAGAUUGUUUUAUCACUUACUUGUUCUCGUGUUGUUUGGCCAUUGGGUUGGCUUUGGGGACCUCCUCGAGGUGGAAGUUGAGAAGGGGUGUGGCUUAGUCAAAGCAUAGCCAGCCCCUGGGUGUGACACUCUCAUUUUAAUUAAAUCCUACACACAAAUUAAUAAUUUGUCCUACUUCCUGUCCACAUUCUUAUAGACUGAUGUAGAUGGCUCUCACUUAAAAUGAUUCCAUGCAAUGGUGCAAGGCUUUUGAGAAUGUCUCUAUAACUCAUUCCCAAAGUAAAACCCAAUUAAAGUGUCUCUGUCCAUAACAUACUGUAACAUAAUAGCAGUGUAAGGUUUAUGAGAAUGAGGACUGGAAGUAGAACGAAUUAUUAUUUUGUGUGCACGAUUUACUUAAAACGAGGGAACAAAUUAUUAUAUCUAAUGCAUGAUUUUCUUAAAAUGAAAGAACGAAUUAGUAAAUUGUGCACAACAUUUUGUAAACCAAGGGAAUGAAUCAUGUGCACGAUUUACUUUUUUUUUCCCUGCAUGUUAUGUGCAGGGCUCGGUACUCUUCAGGGCUCACCAAGGCUGCAUUUAUUUGAUCAAAAUAAAAUAAAAACAAUAUUACAAAAUAUUAUUUUAAAAUUUUAAUAAAUAUUUUGUUUUUUAAUAUAUUUGAAACUUUUCUUUGUCCAUAUUUCAGUGUCAUGUGAUCCUUCAGAAAUCAUUGUAAUAUGCUUAUAUGCUUGUGCUGCUCAAUAUUUUCUGUAAACUGUGAUACUUUUUUUUUUUUGUCAGGAUUGUCUGAUGAUUAGAAAAUUCUAAAUAAAUGAAUAAAUAAAAAUGAAAACAGGAUUUAUUUGAAAUACAGAUCAUUUGAAAGAUUAUACAUGUCUCUACUGUGACUUUUGACCAAUUUAAUGCAUCCUUGCUGAAUGUGUUAAAUUAAAAAAAAAAAAAAAAACCUUACUGACCUUAAAUAUUUCCCAUAAUUGCUACUUAAUUUGUAUCUUGCAGGUUGCCUUUGUGUCACAGUUACUACUUUUUUCAACAUUGUUGAAACAGGCUUGCAUGUGAACUACUAUUGCAAACAUGGCUAGAAAACAAAAAAAAAAAAAACCCUUGGUAUCAUUUGUUUUCAGAUAUCACUUAGUUUGACAUUUUGUACCUAAUGCAAUGAAAUUACAUUUCCAAGAGUUUCUGAAUGUUUAGAGACUGCUGAACAGUACAGUAUGUCACAUCCACUAAGCAAACACAAGUUCCACACCCUAAUUUUCUCUUUUCUCUAACAGCAUUUGUCUCAUCGUCUGGUCUUUCCUCCCUCUCUUUCCGCUCUGCUCUAACAGUGCUGGCACCUGUCACU
ensembl:lncRNA